rnacentral:lncRNA from 1 species
CGGGAACCCCGAACAUCCCCUUUCUCUACUCUUUCCCUUUGGAGUCUAUAGAGGGAGAAGCAGAGCCUAAGGCUUCAUCAGUUUGAAUACUGGCUGGGGCUGGGCAAGUUAGUGGCUCAAAGUGUUGAAUCUGUCCCUAAAGCAGGGACAGAAAUGGAGGCUCAGGAGGUAGAGGUGGCAGUGGGCGUGCAGGAGAAGCUGUAGGUCAGGAGGUAGAGGUGGCAGUGGGCGUGCAGGAGAACUGUAGGUCAGAGUGGAGAGGUGGCAGUGGGCGUGCAGGAGAAGCUGUAGGUCGGGAGGUAGAGGUGGCAGUGGGCGUGCAGGAGAAGCUGUAGGUCAGGGGGUAGAGGUGGCAGUGGGCGUGCAGGAGAACUGUAGGUCGGGAGGUAGAGGUGGCAGUGGGCGUGCAGGAGAAGCUGUAGGUCGGGAGGUAGAGGUGGCAGUGGGCGUGCAGGAGAAGCUGUAGGUCGGAGAGGGUGCAGAGUGGAGAACAGAUGAGCUGGAGUCACACCAUGCCCUAUACCCAGCCAGAGGCCGAAGUGAGCCUGUCACGGUAAUGCCACUGCCUGCUUGAUUCCCUCCCAUGCCUAGCCUGGGUUCUUCAUGAUCCCUGAGGCCCUCUUUGAUGUCAUCCCGCUGCCUCAAAACCUGUGUGUGCUGGUGGCUCCCUCUGCUUUCCUUCCAGAUGACUCCUUCGCUUCAGCUCAAAUGUCACCUUUGGCUGUUAAAAUCCUUUCCGGAGGAAGUUGUAAACAAUGCCUACCCCUCCUCCCGA